AUUGAACGCUGGCGGCAUGCCUUACACAUGCAAGUCGAACGGCAGCACGGGAGCAAUCCUGGUGGCGAGUGGCGAACGGGUGAGUAAUGUAUCGGAACGUACCUUUCAGUGGGGGAUAACGUAGCGAAAGUUACGCUAAUACCGCAUAUUCUGUGAGCAGGAAAGCAGGGGAUCGCAAGACCUUGCGCUGAUUGAGCGGCCGAUAUCAGAUUUAGCUAGUUGGUGAGGUAAAGGCUCACCAAGGCGACGAUCUGUAGCGGGUCUGAGAGGAUGAUCCGCCACACUGGAACUGAGACACGGUCCAGACUCCUACGGGAGGCAGCAGUGGGGAAUUUUGGACAAUGGGCGCAAGCCUGAUCCAGCCAUGCCGCGUGAGUG
rnacentral:rRNA from 1 species